AGCUAAUCAAAAUGAAGACACUGUUAGUUCUCCUCUUCAAGUCAGCCUUCUUAAAGAUGAUUCACAAUUACAAGACUCAACCAUUGUCAACAAUUUUAUUGUCAAAGUCAUUGGACAAAGGAUAUUGUUUUAGAUUGAAAAAACCUGGUCAGCUUAAUUAAUCCUAUCUUUAAAAAGGAAAGGGGAAAAAAAACCACUUUAUCUUAAUACCAAACCAUUUUGAAAGUCAUCCAGGAUUUUGAGAAAGCCUACUAGUUUCUAUUUUAUGCAGGGCCAGGCUUGGACUAUUAUGAAUGUUGCUGAACACUGUUAAUCAAGCUUACACAGCUAUUUUGAUGGCAAACAAUUAGAACUCUGCAGCUCUACCUUGCAAUUAGCUUCAGGGAUAUGGACCUCAGCACCAUAAUAAUGAAAGAGACCUCCUUCAAGCACGAAUGUUCACCUUGGAGAAAGACAGCUGUCAUGUUGUGAGGUAGCCCUAUAGAGAUGCCCACUUGAGUGAACUUAUAAGAUCUGCUAAGGCCUGCUAACAACCAACAUUGCUGUCACCAAAUUUCAUCAGCCAACUAUCUGCUAUGGCCUGUCAAACAGAAUCCACGUGCAUGAUCUGGAUUUUGUUGACACACAAGCUUGUCUUCAUCCAUCCUCCAUGCUAGAAGACAUUAAAGAACACUGCUGGUUAAGUGACCUGCAACCCCUUAUUGGAAUCUCUGGGACAGAGGACUUGCUGCCUCUUGAGGAAAUAAACCUAUAGAGAAAAAAAGACAUGUUUUAUGAGUAAGGGUCUCACUAUUUUGUGAAAGAACUAAAAAAGAAAGUGGAUAUUUGUAUCACAUGGAAAAAAAAGAAAGUGUACUAAAUUCCUAACAAUCACCUUCUUGUCAAAAGAUGUAAGAAAAAUUAAAAUGUAAACAUCUGUACUUUCAAAAUUAA